CGACCGGCGCACGGGUGAGUAACGCGUAUCCAACCUGCCUUACACUCUUGGACAGCCUUCUGAAAGGGAGAUUAAUACAAGAUGUUAUCAUGAGUAAGCAUUUUCGCAUGAUUAAAGGUUUACCGGUGUAAGAUGGGGAUGCGUUCCAUUAGAUAGUAGGCGGGGUAACGGCCCACCUAGUCACGAUGGAUAGGGGUUCUGAGAGGAAGGUCCCCCACAUUGGAACUGAGACACGGUCCAA
rnacentral:rRNA from 1 species